rnacentral:rRNA from 1 species
AAUCAACGCUGGCGGCGUGCCUAACACAUGCAAGUCGAACGCGAAAGCCCCGCAAGGGGUAAGUAGAGUGGCAAACGGGUGAGUAACACGUGGGUGACCUGCCCUCGAGUGGGGGAUAACGUCCCGAAAGGGACGCUAAUACCGCAUAAUAUGCCGCCUUUUAAGAGGUGGACAUCAAAGCUGGGGAUCGCAAGACCUAGCGCUUGAAGAGGGGCCCGCGCCUGAUUAGCUAGUUGGUGGGGUAANGGCUCACCAAGGCAACGAUCAGUAUCCGGCCUGAGAGGGCGGACGGACACACUGGGACUGAGACACGGCCCAGACUCCUACGGGAGGCAGCAGUGGGGAAUUGUUCGCAAUGGGCGCAAGCCUGACGACGCAACGCCGCGUGGAGGAUGAAGACCU